AUACUCACCGGCAGGGGAGAGACCAUGAGCGAUGCUUAUCCAUUGCCCCCAUGAUGUGCUGUCCCCUGCGAUUUCCCCAAAUGUGGGAAACUCAGCUGCAUCAUUUGUGGUAGUGGGGGCCUGCGUUCAUGCUCUCCCCUA
rnacentral:snRNA from 1 species